UUUAGUGUAAUUACCGCCACGGGUCGAAAAUUUGUGAGGUUCUAAUCAAGUUACCGGGGGCUAACCAAUGUCGAUAUCGUUUGAACUUUGAAAUUAGCAAAAUGCUCUAAAGCAAACCCAAAACUCGAUAUGGUGAAUUGCAAAUACUCUAUAGACUUUGGUAUAGGCAAGUCGUUUCCUUACGCUCUAUGGACUCUGCGGAUAGGAAAUGAAUGAAUGACUAACUGACAUUGAAUAUAUACAACUGGGAGAGGGUGUGAUCGGGAUCGGAGUGGUCGGUGUGGAUCGGCGCUUAUCUAAUCAAUGGAAAACCAAGUUGGUUAAGGAACUAGCAAGCAAGUGUUUAUGGCUGAUUGAACACAGCUAAUGAAUAGACUCCUAGGAGAUACAACUUCAUUUAUAGCACUAGUUUUCAAGAUACGUAUUAUUCAUAUCUGUAGGAUAUCAAGUAUUGAAGAUCAUGCGAUCGCCGACUUCCUUGGGUAGCUC
rnacentral:sRNA from 1 species